AGGGGUUUGAUCAUGGCUCAGAACGAACGCUGGCGGCGUGCUUAACACAUGCAAGUCGAACGAGAACGCGGGCUUCGGCCCGUUAGUAGAGUGGCAUACGGGUGAGUAACACGUGGAUAACCUGCCCGGAGGUGGGGGAUAACUCCCGGAAACGGGUGCUAAUACCGCAUAACAUCUCGGAGUUCAGGCUCUUGAGAUCAAAGCUAGCCUCUUCUUGAAAGCUAGCGCCACCGGAGGGGUCCGCGGCCCAUUAGCUUGUUGGUGAGGUAACGGCUCACCAAGGCUUCGAUGGGUAGCCGGCCUGAGAGGGCGAUCGGCCACACUGGAACUGAGACACGGUCCAGACUCCUACGGGAGGCAGCAGUGAGGAAUCUUGCGCAAUGGGGGAAACCCUGACGCAGCGACGCCGCGUGGAGGACGAAGGCCUUCGGGUCGUAAACUCCUGUCAGGAGGGACGAAAGCUACGGGGAUGAAUAAGCCCCGUGGUUGACGGUACCUCUGGAGGAAGCCCCGGCUAACUCCGUGCCAGCAGCCGCGGUAAUACGGAGGGGGCCAGCGUUGUUCGGAAUUAUUGGGCGUAAAGGGCGUCUAGGUGGCUGUGCAAGUCGGAGGUGAAAUCCCUCGGCUCAACCGAGGAAUUGCCCCCGAUACUGCAUGGCUUGAGUCCCGGAGAGGGUAGCGGAAUUCCUAGUGUAGCGGUGAAUGCGUAGAUAUUAGGAGGAACACCAGUGGCGAAGGCGGC
rnacentral:rRNA from 1 species